rnacentral:rRNA from 1 species
ACCGAAGGAAGGGCGAGCGGGCCCGGACGCGCGGGGCAGCGACUGGGGACG